rnacentral:tRNA from 3 species
GCGGAGUAGCUCAGUUGGUUAGAGCAGAGGAAUCAUAAUCCUUGUGUCGGGGGUUCAAAUCCCUCCUCCGC